CUUCAAGGAAGCGAGGAAGGGAAGGCGCUUGAAAUGAAAUGCAUCCUGGGAGGGAUAUCACUACUCCACCCAUCCAUCCCACUUCAGUCCUGUGGGGCUCUAAACCUCAAUGUAAGAUCUCGGUCGUAUUUAUUAGGUACCAAACGGAACAGACUGAAACAGGGAGGCACUAUCAAACAGACAUGGACCAUUCUGUGGUGUAACGGUGAGCACUGAAGGGAGUUGCUGGGUUGGAGUAGAGGGUAGUUUCCACAGACUGGGAAGCUGAUGGAUAGAGGAGAGGACCUGAGCCCUAGGACCAUGUCUCAGGACUACCUGACAUGAUGACUCCUUGCUGUCCCCAGUCCACCUGGCCGUGCUGCUGCUCCAGUUUCAACUGUUCUGCCUGCGGCUAUGGAACCCUGACCUGUUCACCGGACGUGCUACCUGUCCUAGACCUGCUGUUUUCAACUCUCUAGAGACAGCAGUAGCGGUAGAGAUACUCUCAAUGAUCGGCUAUGAAAAGCCAACUGACAUUUACUCUUGAGGUGCUGACUUUUUGCACCCUCGACAACCACUGUGAUUAUUAUUAUUUGACCAUGCUGGUCAUUUAUGAACAUUUGAACAUCUUGGCCAUGUUCUGUUAUAAUCUCCACCCGGCACAGCCAGAAGAGG
rnacentral:lncRNA from 1 species